rnacentral:rRNA from 1 species
UACGUAGGGGGCUAGCGUUAUCCGGAAUUACUGGGCGUAAAGGGUGCGUAGGCGGUCUUUCAAGCCAGAAGUGAAAGGCUACGGCUCAACCGUAGUAAGCUUUUGGAACUGUAGGACUUGAGUGCAGGAGAGGAGAGUGGAAUUCCUAGUGUAGCGGUGAAAUGCGUAGAUAUUAGGAGGAACACCAGUAGCGAAGGCGGCUCUCUGGACUGUAACUGACGCUGAGGCACGAAAGCGUGGGGAGCGAACAGG